rnacentral:rRNA from 1 species
UACGGAGGAUGCGAGCGUCAUCCGGAUUUAUUGGGUUUAAAGGGUGCGUAGGCGGACUGUCAAGUCAGCGGUAAAAUUGAGAGGCUCAACCUCUUCCCGCCGUUGAAACUGGUGGUCUUGAGUGGAUGAGAAGUAUGCGGAAUGCGUGGUGUAGCGGUGAAAUGCAUAGAUAUCACGCAGAACUCCGAUUGCGAAGGCAGCGUACCGGCAUCCAACUGACGCUGAGGCACGAAAGCGUGGGGAUCAAACAGG